ensembl:lncRNA
GCCGCUUUGAAAAAGAGACGUCACAAAGGGCACAAGCGUGUGAGGAAGGGGAGAGGGAGCUUGGUUGCUAGGAAACCAGGGAACCAGUUUAGUUCAACAGCCGCUGGGCGUUUAGGGGCUGUGUCAAUCGUGCUGACUGUGUGCAUGUGAGCAUGGGGCCGGGAGGGGGCACUUCUCUUUUAGCACAAACUAGAAGAGGGGCGUGCUUCCCAGGUGGCCCUAGUGGUGAAGAGCCCUCCUGCCAGGGCAGGAGAUGUAAGAGACAUGGAUUUGAUCCCUGGGUCGGGAAGAUCCCCUGGAGGAGGGCAUGGCGACCCACUCCAGUAUCUUGCCUGGAGAAUCUCCAAGGCCAGAGGAGCCUGGUGGGCUACAGUCUGUGGGGUCACAAAGAGUCGGACACGACUGAGCGACUUAGCACGCAUGCACACGGAAAACUGGGGCAUCCGGCGCUCCCAUCAGAAAUCAGGCCUGCCUUGUGGAGUGUUCAUUUAAUUCCCAACCUCUUAGGAACUCUUACCUCCGAUCAUCCCUGACUGCCAACAGUCCCAAAAGGAAGAAAGCACACUUUCCUGUUGCUCCUGCGCAAGCCUGGGAUCCACUGAUGGUGCCCACGGUGUGUGCGUCAUGCCCAUCCCAUGACCAGCCCCUGGGGGAUCCGCUGCUGGGCCUGAGAACAUCCCGUCCUGGCAUGGGCGAGCUGCGCUGGAGCCGCACUGACUGCAAAUGAGGAGGAGGGUUUCAUAAAGGAAACUCUGCAUUCUUUUAUGAGAUGAAACUGGGAAUGGCUUCCGAGUAGCCAAAGUGGAAACCAGAAGACCACCUCAGGCACUUAAACGAGUUCUAAUGCUUCUUCAUGAACGUCCUUG